GGGCUUGACAGGUUUCGACGGGGUAUCUUAAGCUGAAGAAGCCAUCCGCAGGUAUGCGUAAAUACCAAAAUUAAACUAAACGCUGAAGAUAAUUUAGCACUCGCUGCCUAAGGGCAGCUGUCCUGCCUGACGCACCUACACGACAGGGUCAGGGCAUCGGUUUGUAGGAAACGCGUAUGUUAAGCUUUGCGCAUACGGCUGAUCCAUGAAGCUACUGAAACCGCUACGGUGUUAGUGAUGGGGCGGCAGAGGGAAUGUUAAUCCACUGACUAUGAUGGUAGAAGGGCGGGGGCGGAUAUUUCGGACGCGGGUUCAAAUCCCGCCAGGUCCACUU
rnacentral:tmRNA from 1 species